GCGCUACCGUCUAUGGGAAAACAAUUUUUAUUGCAUUUUCGCUGGCAAUGAGUGGCGAAAGAGCGUGAGAGGGGCGAGGAAGGGAGGAAGAGAUUUCCUAGAGCAGGAUGGGUAUAUUGUGUGAAAGAAAGAGAUAAAGUGAUGAAGGAGAAAAGAGAUGAAUGGCGACUGUCGAAUGGUGUGCCGCGCUGAACGGUGGACGGUGUGGGAGUGUUUCAAGACGAAAAGACGAAGAUUUCCAAGGACUUUAAUGAUCAUUGCCUCCAAGUAAACUGAGCAGAACGGAACGAAAGGAACGCCGGAUGCCAGCGGAAAGUUAAAGGAAACGCAGCCCAGAUACGGAACACAAGCGGUUUGGCACAUAAGAAGAUAUACACGGGAUACACGGAAUACAGAGGCAGAGGAGGGGAGUCGGGAGUCAGGACGAUGCUGCCAGAACAACGACGUUGCCUAGCACAUAUGCCAAAUGGGGGGAAGGAGCAAGGAUGGAGCCGGAAUAAAACAAAAGAGAGAAGAUGCAAAUUGGUCGCCUGGAUGUCUGCCAGCUCCACGCCGUAGAUCUCUCUUUAAAAGUGUCUCGAAAGUGGUGCAAUAAAACGAGGUGAGCCGUUGAAGUUCAGACAGACAUCAGGAGCCAGCCAGGAGCUCCACCGACAGAUCAUCAAUAUUUGCAGGCAUCGAAAUGGAUAUUCAUUCGUAAUUAUGAGCCAAUGGACAACGGAAUUGUGCAAAUUUGAGAUGAGAGUGGAGAGAAUGGUUAACAAAAUGCCAGAGCAAAUUAUUCGUGAUGUGACAACAUGAUUCCAAUGAAAUAACUCAAAGGAAGUGACGGCAAAUAACAAACGAUUCUUUUCAUCACCUACGAUAAAUGGAUUUAUUUUUGGAUAUUCAAGACACACAGUUUUCGGAGCUACUUGGCCAUCCCAUGCCAGCGGCAACCCGGAUGGCGUUGAUUCAUGGGAAGUGAAACUAUAUACUACUUUCCGGGAAGUAGUCCCUCACAUGGAGAGCUUUGAAUAUAUAUAUAUAUCCAUAUCUACUUUCAUAGCCAUGUUUAUAAGUUUAGUCAAACAAGUUCCUGGUUUUGACAUUGGUAACCAUUUAACUAUUCUAAUAUUUUCGUUAUCGUGUUUAGAGUUUGCGCCCCACGGCGGUGAUGCGAAACUCUGGCAUAAUGUUAUUUCCGUAAUUAGGUUGCAGUCUGCUUUCUCUCUAUACUAUCAAUGCAAAAUUGUUCCCCUGAAUUUCAAUAUAAAUAAUUGAUAAUAUCAGGUACCAUGGGCAGAUAUGUCAGUUCUAUGUAUGUACGUACCUCAGGGUAUUUUAGGAAUAACUUUAAACAGCAGAUUUGAAGUUUUCAGUGCACCAUGCCACUCCACUAAUGUCAGCCCAAAGGUUCAAACGAUCGAGGACAUUCUGGCGAUUAAGAGAAGCUGUGGCACGCCCAGAGAGAACAAGAACAAUAACGGAGGAAAGUCCACAAAUAGCGGUUCUUGAUAAUGACGCCAUUGUGAAUGUACUCCUGAUCACAGCAAGCCUUAUCACUCCCAAAUCGGGCCACAAAUAGCGGAGAAUCCAGCAUAUGUAUACUAGGAUGUCAGAAUCCUUAUCCAAGGAUCAAGAAUAUCAACAACACCGCCGAAUCAAGCGCUGGGCUUCAGCUUUGAGACGCAGGACUUAUGCACCUUACGCUUUGCCACAAACAGAGUCGUAUCCGAUUGCGACCAGCCAAGCAGAAUCGUAUCCAAGCAUUACCGAGGUGUGUUCGAGCUAGACGAAGUCCUAUCCCAGCCAGACCGAAUCGUAUCCCAGCAGGACAGAAGCGCACCCCCUUCAAGAGCCCGAAACUAAUGAGCCGCUAUCAUCCUUCGACCUGGCCAUCGGCAACUUUCUCAAGGACUUCGGCUAUGGCAACCAAGGCAGGGGCUACGUGGACUACUAGACUCUAGAUAGACCAUGUUGUUGUUAGGUUUAAGUGUAUAUACGUCUAUGCGUUUAAAUAAUAGAUAUAAAUGGGGUCCACUAGCUUAUUAUUGAUACUAAGUUAGGUUAUGAUGAAUAAAAGUAUUGAAAACCCA